rnacentral:rRNA from 1 species
CCUACGGGGUGCAGCAGUAGGGAAUCUUCCACAAUGGGCGAAAGCCUGAUGGAGCAACGCCGCGUGGGUGAAGAAGGUCUUCGGAUCGUAAAACCCUGUUGUUAGAGAAGAAAGUGCGUGAGAGUAACUGUUCACGUUUCGACGGUAUCUAACCAGAAAGCCACGGCUAUCUACGUGCCAGCAGCCGCGGUAAUACGUAGGUGGCAAGCGUUAUCCGGAUUUAUUGGGCGUAAAGGGAACGCAGGCGGUCUUUUAAGUCUGAUGUGAAAGCCUUCGGCUUAACCGGAGUAGUGCAUUGGAAACUGGGAGACGUGAGUGCAGAAGAGGAGAGUGGAACUCCAUGUGUAGCGGUGAAAUGCGUAGAUAGAUGGAAGAACACCAGUGGCGAAAGCGGCUCUCUGGUCUGUAACUGACGCUGAGGUUCGAAAGCGUGGGUAGCAAACAGGAUUAGAUACCCUUGUAGUC